rnacentral:tRNA from 5 species
UCCUAUGUGGCGGAAUGGUAAACGCAGUCGACUGUUAAUCGACCGUCGCAAGACUUAGAGGUUCGAGUCCUCUCAUAGGAGCCA